rnacentral:rRNA from 1 species
UGUUUCGGCUAGGGGGCCAUCCCGGCUUACCAACCCGAUGCAAACUGCGAAUACCGGAGAAUGUUAUCACGGGAGACACACGGCGGGUGCUAACGUCCGUCGUGAAGAGGGAAACAACCCAGACCGCCAGCUAAGGUCCCAAAGUCAUGGUUAAGUGGGAAACGAUGUGGGAAGGCCCAGACAGCCAGGAUGUUGGCUUAGAAGCAGCCAUCAUUUAAAGAAAGCGUAAUAGCUCACUGGUCGAGUCGGCCUGCGCGGAAGAUGUAACGGGGCUAAACCAUGCACCGAAGCUGCGGCAGCGAACGUAUCACUUAAAGCGAUUCAGCGGGUUACGAUUGACGGAGCGAAGCGACGUCAAAGCGUAUACAAAGUCGAGUCGGUUUAAGGAUACGUUCGUUGGGUAGGGGAGCGUUCUGUAAGCCUGUGAAGGUGU